rnacentral:rRNA from 1 species
CUUGCUGCUUCGCUGACGAGUGGCGGACGGGUGAGUAAUGUCUGGGAAACUGCCUGAUGGAGGGGGAUAACUACUGGAAACGGUGGCUAAUACCGCAUAACGUCGCAAGACCAAAGAGGGGGACCUUCGGGCCUCUUGCCAUCAGAUGUGCCCAGAUGGGAUUAGCUAGUUGGUGAGGUAACGGCUCACCAAGGCGACGAUCCCUAGCUGGUCUGAGAGGAUGACCAGCCACACUGGAACUGAGACACGGUCCAGACUCCUACGGGAGGCAGCAGUGGGGAAUAUUGCACAAUGGGCGCAAGCCUGAUGCAGCCAUGCCGCGUGUAUGAAGAAGGCCUUCGGGUUGUAAAGUACUUUCAGCGGGGAGG